rnacentral:misc_RNA from 1 species
UUUGGACCGAAUGUGACAUAUUCUAGUACUAUGAAUCUGGGCUGUAUGUCUAGAUUCAUAGUACUAGGAUGUGUCACAUCUGGUACUAGGUUGGUUUUUUAUGGGACGGA